ensembl:lncRNA
GUCACAGCCUUAGAUAGUUAUUUUAUUCGGUGGGAACCUUAGGGACUCCGAGCCUGGGAGACAGCACUUCAGGAAAUAUUUCAUUUCACACCAGAACGCUCUCUGAAUGAAACUGAUCACAGCGAGGCAGCAGUGCCGGGAGGACCAACCCCACGUCCAAGGAGCGGUGGCUGCGCAGGCGCAAAAGGGCCUAGAGGAGCUAUUCCACGUUGAAGGUCAGGAACGGCGGCGGUGAGGAGAUACCCCUCGUCCAACGUAAGGAGCAGCGGCUGCACUUUGCUGGAGCAGCCGUGAAGAGAUACCCCACGCCCAAGAGGGCAAACGGGAGGCUAAAUGUAAAUGCCUUAGCUGGAGCCCACCUGUCUCUUGUCUCAAGAAAUGCUAACAGUUGUAAGUAAGUAGCCAGCCUG